AAUUUGGGUUUGGCACAUCUUCUUUAAACUGGCCAAGGUAUUGUCUGUCAUAGUAAAUGCAUUCUCCGAAAUGCUUAUAAUGGAAGGCUUUGUCGUUAAAAGGCAGCCUAGGCACGAUAUCAUCUGAAUAGACCACCCUGAAGUACUUGGCAACAGGAUUAUGCAAAUGGGGUUCCAUGAACUUUCCUAACUGCACAUCUCCGAUUCUUGGCUGUCCAAAUGUGUAAACACCUAGCAGCCUUUGCAGCAUCUCAACCUCAUCUUGGAUUGCCAACAGGGUUGGGAAUAUUAUAGCAAGUGCCCCACCUAAGCUAUGUCCUGUCACCACAAAUUUUGCAUUCGGGUUCUCCUUCAGUAAGUUGCUGAGCUUGAUCGNNNNNNNNNNNAUGCACUCUUGUUUGCUUUUCUCAACGAUUCCUUCUCACUCUCAGCAUCUAAUUGGAAGAAAUUUUUAUCCCUCUUUUGAAGGUGACUUUCGAAGCUUGAAGCAUCACUUCUGGUG
rnacentral:misc_RNA from 1 species